UAAGAAUGGUUCAUAUUUUAUAAUUUUUUUAAUUUUUUUUAUCUUUUUGUUUUUAAAUUGUAUGUGUACUGAAAUUAGGGUUUCGUGGAUUGUAGUGCAACAUCGCAGGGGAAAGCGAAGAUAGAUUUUGAGUCAAUGAGAGGAAAGAAGUGGUAGGUUUGGAGAGAUAUGUAGGGAAUCAACGUGGCUGUAACGAAAAAGGAGCUCGACGUUGAUAAUGGCGGCAAAGGUAAUGUGGAGAUGGGAAUUCGUCUUCCCGAUGUGGUAGUGCGAUCAAGAUGCGUAUGGAGUAAUAAUUCUAUUGCUGCUUCUUUCAUUACUAUUUUUUAUAAUUUAUUUACUGAAAUUAUAAAUUUUGUUACAUUUGUACGUAUAUUUCUUUCAUCUCUUUUAUUUCUGUAUAUAUUAAUAUAUAUUAUUUUUAUUUAUUGAUGUCUUAUGGCAAUUCAAAAAAUUUAAAAUUUUUACUUUGUGAAUCUUCUGUCUUCUAUAGCAUCAGCCCGCCGCAAUGCGCGGGUAACUUCACUAGUAAAGUAUCAAACUGGAAGGAUUUCCUCUCAUGAUUUAGGCCAGUCUUUUCCGGUCGCUAAAGUCGGUGAUAAGAUACAGAAAAGAGAAAGAGAUUUUGAGUUCGAGUUCCAAAUAAAGAGCAGCGGUACGAGUACGUCCAAUGAAAUACAAAUGGGGUACCGGCUCGGCCCGAAAUAGUUCUAAGCUUUCCCGAACCGCGUAUUGGAUUUCAUAUUCGAACACUCUCCUCGGGCCAGGCCGAGUAAACUUGAGCCGGACCGUCAACAAGAGUAGGCCCCAAAAAAGAUCAGGUCUCUACUACACAUGACUGACUAUAUAUGAACUUGAGUUAAUUUCAUACAGCUCCCUAUAAAUACAGUAAAUUACAAAUAUAUCUCUACAAAGUUCAAUUUUCAUAUAUUAUCUCUACGAAAGUACUAAUAUUUUCAAUUAUAUUCCUUUACUGUUUAUUUUGUAAGUGAAAUGACUUUUUUGCCAUCACAAAUAUGUCCCUCCAAAAUUUUUAACUAUUAAUUGAAGAGAAAUAAAAAGGUCAAUUCAUCUUAUUAACUAACUAGGGUUAAGUAUUUUACUUAUGGUUAACUAAAUUUUUUUAACGGAUCUUAACGACAGGGACAUAAUUGAAAAUAUCAAAUUUUUGCAUGGACAACAUAUAAAAAUUAAAUUUAUAGGAAUAUAUUUGUAAUUCACUAUAUUAUAGGGUAUGAAAUUAG
rnacentral:lncRNA from 1 species